UACGUAGGAUGCAAGCGUUGUCCGGAAUUAUUGGGCGUAAAGAGCGCGCAGGCGGUCUAUCAAGUCAGAUGUGAAAUAUCCAGGCUUAACCUGGAGGGGUCAUUUGAAACUGGUAGGCUAGAGUACAGCAGAGGAUAGUGGAAUUCCCGGUGUAGUGGUGAAAUGCGUAGAUAUCGGGAGGAACACCAGUGGCGAAGGCGACUAUCUGGGCUGAAACUGACGCUGAGGCGCGAAGGCUAGGGGAGCAAACAGG
rnacentral:rRNA from 1 species